rnacentral:rRNA from 1 species
UAUCUCUGUAGAGUCUGCAUAUCAAUAAGCGGAGGAAAAGAAACUAACAAGGAUUCCCUUAGUAACGGCGAGUGAAGCGGGAAGAGCUCAAAUUUGAAAUCUUCAAGGUUCUACCUUGACGAAUUGUAGUUUAAAGAAGUGUUUUCUGUUGAAGUUUCGGUAAAAGUUCUUUGGAAUAGGACAUCAUAGAGGGUGAGAAUCCCGUAUUUGACCGUUAUUUUCAGCUGUGUGAUACACUUUCAAAGAGUCGGAUUGUUUGGGAAUGCAGUCCAAAAUGGGUGGUAAAUUUCAUCUAAAGCUAAAUAUUGGCGAGAGACCGAUAGCGAACAAGUACCGUGAGGGAAAGAUGAAAAGAACUUUGAAAAGAGAGUUAAACAGUACGUGAAAUUGUCAAAAGGGAAGCGUUUGACACCAGUGUUGUUUUCUCGAAAAUCAAUUAAAAAUGGCUUGAUUUUGUGUUGUAUUGACCUUAAAAGCUUUCUUCACUUUUUUCAUGUCUUUUUUAAUGCACUUUUCGUUUAACAAGUCAACAUCAGUUUCUUUUGUUGUAAAAAGGUCAUUGGAAGGUGGCUUUCUUUUCGGAGAAAGUGUUUAUAGCCUUUGACUUCUGCAAUCGGAGAGACUGAGGUCUGCAGCGUAGAUCCUUCUGGAUUAGAUUCAUUUGUGCUAAGUUACAACCGUUUAUAGACAACUUGUUGACUAUAUUCGAUCCUGUAGCUUACUCGCUUAUGUAAUUUUACCUACGCUUAGGAUGUUGAUAUGCAUGACUGAUAU